rnacentral:misc_RNA from 1 species
GAGAAGAAGGCAAGUCAAUUUUCUCCUUAUAUAAGCAACUACCCUCACCUUAUUCUUUUUUAUUCUCUCUUCUCAGAUCCAGUUUUGGUUUUUUAUCCUCUUGCUCUUAGAUCUCCAAAGUUUUCACCGACAUCUACGGAGUUCGAGUUUUAGUUCGUUUUCUCUCAAAGUUUGAAUCUUUUAUACUUUUCUUGUCUUUCUCUUUUUGUUCUUCAAGUAAAUUUUGAUGCUGCUAGUGGUGGUGGUGAGGGAGGAUUUUGCAAGAGACUAGAAGAUUUGAAGUGGGUUUUUCAUGGUUGAUGAGCAUAAGCGGAGUUUGAAGAGUAGAGUGAGAAGGAAAAGCACUGUGCGGCCGUCAAUCUAACUAGGUUUUUUUGCUGUGUGUGACUGUGGCUAAUUUUCUCCU